AAUGCAUUUGUCAUUCAUUUGCCCUCUCCGUUUCUGUGUCUUAUGAUACUCUGUAACAUCUGAGCAUAUUCUCACCAAGUCUUGCCAAUUGCCGGCACUUGUGUUUAUGUGGACCACCAUAAAACCUAUUUAUAUUUGUGCUACAGCAAAAAACAGUUGACAAGAACUAAGCUGAUGAGAAAUAUAAAGCUACGUGUCAGAAGCCAUUGGCAUAAAUUGGUUUUAUUCUACAUUGAAAGUCUCUGGAUUCCAGCCAGCCAUGAGCAAUGAAUGACAGGACUUCUUUGAGUCAAGAGAACCCCAGGAAUUUGUGAAUCUGCAAGUAUGAAUUAAUACAUGUAUAUAUAUAUACAUAUAUAUAUAUGCAUAACUCUAAGCUUAUAUAUAUGUGUUUGGUUCCAAAAACAAACAAAAAAAAAGCUGUUAAAUGAAUCAAUGAUGAAGCAAAACUUUCUGUAUUUGAACAGAAAUAAAUUAAGGAAAACAAUUCCUUCAUUCA